rnacentral:rRNA from 2 species
GGACGAACGCUGGCGGCGUGCCUAAUACAUGCAAGUCGAACGCUUUUUUCAAUCAUCGUAGCUUGCUACACCGAUUGAAAAUUGAGUGGCGAACGGGUGAGUAACACGUGGGUAACCUGCCCAAAAGAGGGGGAUAACACUUGGAAACAGGUGCUAAUACCGCAUAACCAUGAUGACCGCAUGGUCAUUAUGUAAAAGAUGGUUUCGGCUAUCACUUUUGGAUGGACCCGCGGCGUAUUAACUUGUUGGUGGGGUAACGGCCUACCAAGGUAAUGAUACGUAGCCGAACUGAGAGGUUGAUCGGCCACAUUGGGACUGAGACACGGCCCAAACUCCUACGGGAGGCAGCAGUAGGGAAUCUUCCACAAUGGGCGCAAGCCUGAUGGAGCAACGCCGCGUGAGUGAAGAAGGUCUUCGGAUCGUAAAACUCUGUUGUUAGAGAAGAACAUGCGAGAGAGUAACUGUUCUUGUAU